UACGAAGGGGGCUAGCGUUGCUCGGAAUGACUGGGCGUAAAGGGCGCGUAGGCGGAGUGCACAGUCAGACGUGAAAUUCCCGGGCUCAACCUGGGGACUGCGUUUGAGACGUGCAUUCUAGAGUGGGGAAGAGGGUCGUGGAAUUCCCAGUGUAGAGGUGAAAUUCGUAGAUAUUGGGAAGAACACCGGUGGCGAAGGCGGCGACCUGGUCCUUGACUGACGCUGAGGCGCGAAAGCGUGGGGAGCAAACAGG
rnacentral:rRNA from 1 species